rnacentral:rRNA from 1 species
GACGAACGCUGGCGGCGUGCUUAACACAUGCAAGUCGAGCGGUAAGGCCCUUUCGGGGGUACGACGAGCGGCGAACGGGUGAGUAACACGUGGGUGACCUGCCCUCAGCUCUGGGAUAAGCCCGGGAAACGUGGGUCUAAUACCGGAUAUGACUCCAUGACGCAUGUUGGUGGGGUGGAAAGCCUUGUGCGGCUGAGGAUGGGCCCGCGGCCUAUCAGCUUGUU